GAUUACGUCUAUGCCACACUGACAAUGCCCGAUCUCGUCUGAUCUCGGAAGCUAAGCAGAGUUGGGCUGGGUCAGUACUUGGAUGGGUGACCGCCUGGGAAUACCCGGUGCUGUAAGCA
rnacentral:rRNA from 1 species